rnacentral:rRNA from 1 species
CCUACUGGUGGCUGCAGUGAGGAAUAUUGGUCAAUGGGCGGGGGCCUGAACCAGCCAAGUCGCGUGACGGAUGAAGGUCCUUUGGAUUGUAAACUUCUUUUGUCGGGGAACAAAGGCCGACACGCGUCUCCGUUUGCGUGUACCCUAAGAAAAAGCAUCGGCUAACUCCGUGCCAGCAGCCGCGGUAAUACGGAGGAUGCGAGCGUUAUCCGGAUUUAUUGGGUUUAAAGGGUGCGCAGGCGGGAGAUCAAGUCAGCGGUAAAAUUUCGGGGCUCAACCCCGGCCGGCCGUUGAAACGGGUGUUCGAGAGUUGGAGAGAAGUAUGCGGAAUUCGUGGUGUAGCGGUGAAAUGCAUAGAGAUCACGAAGAACUCCGAUUGCGAAGGCAACAUACCGGCUCCAAACUGACGCUCAUGCACGAAAGCGUGGGUAUCGAACAGGAUUAGAUACCCCUGUAGUC